UCAUAAUGGAUUGGGGGGUUGGGGCUAAAUCCAAUGACUGAUAUCUUUAUAAGAGAAAGAAGAGGAAGAUUCAGAUAUGGAAACACAGAAAAGAAGGUCAUGUGACAACAGAGACAGAGAUUGAAUGAUACAGCCAUAAGCCAAGAAGCCUCAAGAAUUGCUGGGGACCACCAGAAGCUAGGAUCAGUCAAAGACGGAUUCCUCUCUAGAACCUUCAGAGGUAGACAGGCCCUCUUGGACUUCUAGCUUACAAAAUGGUGGAGAAACAGGAGUGGGAAAGGCCCGGAGAAGGCAAGAGGAAAACAAGAAGAAAAUGAUGCUUCUGAAACCAAAGAACAAGAGGUGUGAGGAAGAAUGAUCACAUCAACAGAAAAUACUAAGGGGUCAAAAAAUUAAAGCUGAAAAAAAUGUG